GGGUUGUGAGGUUAAGCGACUAAGCGUACACGGUGGAUGCCCUGGCAGUCAGAGGCGAUGAAGGGCGUGCUAAUCUGCGAUAAGCGCCGGUAAGGUGAUAUGAACCGCUACAACCGGCGAUACCCGAAUGGGGAAACCCAGUGUGACUCGUCACACUAUCAUGCAGUGAAUACAUAGCUGCAUGAGGCGAACCGGGGGAACUGAAACAUCUAAGUACCCCGAGGAAAAGAAAUCAACCGAGAUUCCCCCAGUAGCGGCGAGCGAACGGGGAGGAGCCCAGAACCAUCAUCAGCUUGUGCAUCAGUGGA
rnacentral:rRNA from 1 species